rnacentral:lncRNA from 1 species
GAACAUUGUCUUUAACCCAUUGAUGUAGCUUUGAAUUUUUCAUAGACAUCAUUUAUUUAAACAUGGAUAAUUCUUACCGUGGUGUUGUGUUUAUAGUUGAAUGAAAGGAAGGAGCGGGUCCCUCAACUUCCAUGCUUCUAACUGUACUAGCUUCUCAAAAGAUGUAUUUUAAUUGAGACCUGCAGGACAAGACUCAACCAGGGAACAGUUGGGGAGAAAGCUCCAGGCAGCCUGGGAACAAGACUAGGGAAAGGCACCUGGCAGCCUCAGACAACUGAAAAUACGCAAACUGGAAUGAUGGGAGCAUGAAAGGAUUUGUAACAGUGUUCCAGUGGCUGACAUCAAACUCUCGAUACUUCCGCCUCAGUCUUACCAGCAGCUGGAAUUAUAGACGUGGGACACCGUGUCUUGAGAGCUGGGGUUCUUUUUAAAGGUAAGCGUACCCUGC